GGGGUCGACCGGAAUUGACAGGAUGGAGAUAAGUAUGUAAGCAUGCAGCGCGUUGGGUGAAUUAGCGCUUUAAUCUGAACACUCAAACUUUCAAAUGGCGAAAAUCAAUUUGCCUUAGCUGCUUAAUUUAGAAUUAACUAGCUUUUGUCCCGCCGGUGUUCUGUUUCGUUGAACCGGCAACAGGGGCACCGAAAAAUGAAACUGGUUUGCGAAAGGUGCGAUAAGCGAACGAGAAACAGCACAUACGGAAGAUAGUACAGGUGAGCGGCUGACCUUCUACUUCCCGACAACCUAACAGCAGAUAAGCAUGUAGAAAGCCUACCUUAUACCAUGUUUGGACGAGGGUUCGAAUCCCUCCGGCUCCACUA
rfam:Mucilaginibacter paludis DSM 18603 chromosome, whole genome shotgun sequence.